GACGAACGCUGGCGGCGUGCUUAACACAUGCAAGUCGAGCGGAAAGGCCACUUCGGUGGUACUCGAGCGGCGAACGGGUGAGUAACGCGUGAGUAAUCUGCCCUUGGCUUUGGGAUAGCCACCGGCAACGGUGAUUAAUACCGGAUAUGCACUACGUGACGCAUGUUUUGUGGUGUAAAGUUUUUCGGCCAGGGAUGUGCUCGCGGCCUAUCAGCUUGAUGGUGAGGUAAUGGCUCACCAUGGCUUCGACGGGUAGCCGGCCUGAGAGGGUGACCGGUCACACUGGGACUGAGACACGGCCCAGACUCCUACGGGAGGCAGCAGUGGGGAAUAUUGGACAAUGGGCGGAAGCCUGAUCCAGCAACGCCGCGUGAGGGAUGACGGCCUUCGGGUUGUAAACCUCUUUCAGCAGGGACGAAGCGCAAGUGACGGUACCUGCAGAAGAAGCACCGGCCAACUACGUGCCAGCAGCCGCGGUAACAC
rnacentral:rRNA from 1 species